AACCCCAGUUUCCCGAGUGAUAAUUCAUUGCUCAACUUCAACAAGUGUUGGGAGAAGAGACAACCUCUGACUAUCUAAUUUGGAACUUUCUAAAACUUCCACGGAGAGGCCUUUCUUCAGAAGUCCUCUCAUCUACACGCAUUUCGGUCUUCAUGCGGGAGCUGAGCCCUAGAAAGACGCGACCAAUCCAGAAGUUUUCCCUUGGUCCCUAACACCACGUUGACACGAAGAAACUCCUAGGCAUUUCUCAGAAACGAAGGCAGUGAGAGACUGGCAGACGGGAAAGUCCAUCUGCCGAGUAUGGCUUCCUGGAAAUGCCCUCGAAAGCAGAUGAAGGAGAAGCGGCUUCAAAAAGGCAAGGAGAGCUCAACCUCUUCAGAAGGGCAAAGACAGCUGAGCCCCUUCAAUACUGCCAGCCCUGGCUCCCCACUUCAGCCUGACUCUGUCCUGAAUGGAAUGGAUAAUCAGUAAUAGUGCUUGGAGUGGAUGAAGAAAUGGUGCCUUCUGGGAUGUAGACUGAGCAGCUCUACAGAUAACUGGAGCUUUAGGUUCUUGGCUUCCCUUUUCCCACAAGUUCUCACUCUUGCUUGUGUUUUUUAAUUUUAUUUUUUGUAGUUGUUGAUGGA